GACAGAGGGUGCAAACGUUGUUCGGAUUUACUGGGCGUAAAGCGCGUGUAGGCGGCUUUGCAAGUCGGAUGUGAAAGUCCACGGCUCAACCGUGGAAGUGCAUCCGAAACUGCAUGGCUCGAGUCUCGGAGAGGAAGGUGGAAUGCUUGGUGUAGAGGUGAAAUUCGUAGAUAUCAAGCAGAACACCUGCGGCGAAGGCGGCCUUCUGGACGAUGACUGACGCUGAGACGCGAAAGCGUGGGGAGCAAACAGG
rnacentral:rRNA from 1 species